UGUUGUGUAUUGUCACGCAUUGUAUUGUCAUGGAUGGAGGUUCUUUCAUUCAUGGUAUUGUAAUACAUACACUUGGUUUAAAUUUAAUUUGAUUUGAUAAAUUUGAGCCAAUUCUUAGUGAUAUGGGAGUUGUCUUGCAAGUUCCCACAAGCCCAAAUAUAUAUUUUUUCAGUGAAAAGUAACACUAUGAAAAAGUUGAUGCUGGAUGGUUUAAGAAAAUGCCUUAUGGUCAAAGUCGUGUGUUCCUUACAUCAAGCACUCAAAGCAUCACCGUGAAGAGACUUCAGACAAGGGUCAAGGAGUGAGGUGUUUGUGUGGAAACCCCAUUACAUCAUCAAGAGGGAGACCGCACUGACAGGGGUCCAAGAUCCAUCUCAGGCCCUACUGUAGACUGCCCGCCAGCAGACGGAGACCCACCGACGGACGUCGGCUCAAUGGCCAACAGUGGCCCGCCGGCCGGCUGACGGACGACGGUGGCUCGCCGACCGCCGCCGGCCCGUCGGCCGACCACGGCCCACCAGUUGAUGGUGGCUCGCCAGCUGACGGAGGUCCGCCGGCCAUUCGUAGCACGCCCGCCGACGGCAGCUCGACGCACAUCCUGGCCUUAACUAUAGCUAUGUCACCCCCAAGAUUAGUUCACCCCCCCCCCCCCAAGUCCCUAGGUCACCAGUCGCGGGCGCUCCAUCUGACGGUGUCGUCCGACGGCUCCACGGUGACCAGCGCCGCGGAAACCAUCCGACCCCGAAAAUGCUGCUAGCCGUACACGAACAAAAGGCGCCAAGCACCCAGGACCAGCGCCCUGCUCCGAGGCGGUGUCCAAAGAAGGUCGCACAGUGCACUUGCUGUGCUAAGGUGUAGCGCGCGCUGACUGAUAGAAAAAACUGACGGUUGGUUAUCAGAUCUCAGUAUGGAACUCAAGAUGGUCGGAGCCGACCUGGCUCGGUGGAUGGUGUGCCAGGGUUAAUUAAGUGUCGAAAUGAGUGAGACGCUCAGAUAUCUGAAGGAUACGUCGAUACGAGUCCCGGCUUCGACUCCCCGUCCCAAAACGGUGUUGGCUGU